UACGAAGGGGGCUAGCGUUGCUCGGAAUCACUGGGCGUAAAGUGCACGUAGGCGGAUUGCUAAGUCAGGGGUGAAAUCCUGGAGCUCAACUCCAGAACUGCCUUUGAUACUGGCGAUCUUGAGUCCGGGAGAGGUGAAUGGAACUGCGAGUGUAGAGGUGAAAUUCGUAGAUAUUCGCAAGAACACCAGUGGCGAAGGCGGCUCACUGGCCCGGUACUGACGCUGAGGUGCGAAAGCGUGGGGAGCAAACAGG
rnacentral:rRNA from 1 species